UACGGCCCGGAAGUCGUGUCAGCCCUCGUCACGUCCCUGGCGGUUGUGCUGGCACACGGCGGCGCAGCGUACAUCCCGUCGACCGUCCGCAAUCCUGAAACUCGUGCGUUGUUCCUCAGUAAACUAGAUGAGGCAUCGCUGCAAUACGAACCAUGUGCAGGUCCACGGGAGAAGGUUUUCUUCUAUGAUCGCUCUUGCUCAGUUGCCAUAGACAAGAUCACAGCAUGUUCUAGAUGACACGAUAAUUCACACUGUAUCACGUUGUGUAAGACAGGAAAUUUAUAUUCCCUAGUGGCUGCAUUUCGAUAGAGUUAAAAUGCAGACACAAAUACGCCUCUCUAUGCUUCGAUUUAGGUGCAUGCUAAGAAUUCGAGGUGGCCGAACUUAUUCCGGAGAUUCCCCACUAUGGUGUGCCUUAUAUCCGUGUCACACAGGUAUGAUGAUGAUGAU